GAUGAACGCUGGCGGCGUGCCUAAUACAUGCAAGUCGAGCGAACAGAUAAGGAGCUUGCUCCUUUGACGUUAGCGGCGGACGGGUGAGUAACACGUGGGUAACCUACCUAUAAGACUGGAAUAACUCCGGGAAACCGGGGCUAAUGCCGGAUAACAUUUAGAACCGCAUGGUUCUAAAGUGAAAGAUGGUUUUGCUAUCACUUAUAGAUGGACCCGCGCCGUAUUAGCUAGUUGGUAAGGUAACGGCUUACCAAGGCAACGAUACGUAGCCGACCUGAGAGGGUGAUCGGCCACACUGGAACUGAGACAAGGUCCAGACUCCUACGGGAGGCAGCAGUAGGGAAUCUUCCGCAAUGGGCGAAAGCCUGACGGAGCAACGCCGCGUGAGUGAUGAAGGUCUUCGGAUCGUAAAACUCUGUUAUUAGGGAAGAACAAAUGUGUAAGUAACUGUGCACGUCUUGACGGUACCUAAUCAGAAAGCCACGGCUAACUACGUG
rnacentral:rRNA from 1 species